GACGAACGCUGGCGGCGUGCUUAACACAUGCAAGUCGAACGGAAAGGCCCUGCUUUUGUGGGGUGCUCGAGUGGCGAACGGGUGAGUAACACGUGAGUAACCUGCCCUUGACUUUGGGAUAACUUCAGGAAACUGGGGCUAAUACCGGAUAGGAGCACCUGCGGCAUGGUGGGGGUUGGAAAGUUUCGGCGGUUGGGGAUGGACUCGCGGCUUAUCAGCUUGUUGGUGGGGUAGUGGCUUACCAAGGCUUUGACGGGUAGCCGGCCUGAGAGGGUGACCGGCCACAUUGGGACUGAGAUACGGACCAGACUCCUACGGGAGGCAGCAGUGGGGAAUAUUGCACAAUGGGCGGAAGCCUGAUGCAGCAACGCCGCGUGCGGGAUGACGGCCUUCGGGUUGUAAACCGCUUUCGCCUGUGACGAAGCGUGAGUGACGGUAAUGGGUAAAGAAGCACCGGCUAACUACGUG
rnacentral:rRNA from 1 species